rnacentral:rRNA from 1 species
GACGAACGCUGGCGGCGUGCCUAACACAUGCAAGUCGAACGGAAAGGCCCUGCUUUCGUGUGGUGCUCGAGUGGCGAACGGGUGAGUAACACGUGAGUAACCUGCCCUUGACGUUGGGAUAACCUCAGGCAACUGGGGCUAAUACAGGCUAGGAGCUCCUGCUGCAGGGUGGGGGUUGGAAAGCUUCGGCGGAUGGGGCUGGACUUUGGGUUUAUUAGCUUGUUGGUGGAGUAGUGGCAUACCCAGGCUUUGACGGGUAGCCGGCAUGAGAGGGUGACCAGGGACAAUGGGACUAAGGGACGGAGCAGACGCGUACGGGAGGCAGCGGUGGAGAGUCCGACACAGUGAGCGGAAGCCUGAUGCAAAGACGUCGGGAUCGGGAUGACGGUCUUCGGGGUGGAAAGCGCUUUAAGCUGAGACGUAGCGGGAUUGACGGUAAUAGGUGAAGAAGCACCGGCUAACUACGUG